CAGCCUGCCAGUGACAAAUGUUCAACGGCCGCGGUAUCCUAACCGUGCGAAGGUAGCGUAAUCACUUGUUCUUUAAAUGUGGACUAGUAUGAACGGCACCACGAGGGUUAUACUGUCUCCUUUCUCCAAUCAGUGAAACUAAUCUCCCCGUGAAGAAGCGGGGAUAAAAAUAUAAGACGAGAAGACCCUAUGGAGCUUAAAAGUUUACUUCAAACGCUAACCCCUACAAAGUCAUAGACUACCACAAGAAGCCACGCGCCAUGAAAACAACUUUUAGGUUGGGGUGACCAUGGAGCACAAAACAACCUCCACGCUGAACAGGCCUCCAAGCCUCGAGCCAAGGGCCACAACCCGCCGCACUAAAAAAUUAACAUCCAUUGAUCCAAUGAAUUUUGAUCAACGAACCAAGUUACCCUAGGGAUAACAGCGCAAUCUACUUCAAGAGUUCCUAUCGACAAGUGGGUUUACGACCUCGAUGUUGGAUCAGGGUGUCCCAGUGGUGCAGCCGCUACUAAUGGUUCGUUUGUUCAACGAUUAAAACCCUACGUGAUCU
rnacentral:rRNA from 1 species